CACGUCAGAUUUAACACAGAGCCUGGCCUGCUCAUUAAAAUUCCCGAAAAGAAUCUGUUGCACUUACCGUAUGAAGAAGUUAUCUCCUGGAUCAUCAUCAUCUCCUCUUUAAGCUAAUAAGAAAACCUUUGUCAGAUUGAAAUACACAGAACGGGCGAGGAUAUUACAUUGCUGAAACGAGGACUGCUCUUGAAAAGGUCACAAAGGAGAACACCAUUGGUCACCAUCUUGCUGACUGUGUGUGCUUGAUAGAUUGCUCACCCGUUAUCUCAUAGCAAACACUCAGAAUGUUCAAGGACACAUAAUAAUUUGGUUAAAACUAAGUUCAAGAAAAUAAAGACUCUUAUACUAAGGUAUACCAUUCGAGUUUUGUUGAUGAUGAAGGUAUCACUAAAGCUUGUGGAUGUCCUCUACUUCCAUUAAAAAGCCAUAUCAAGGGUCCUGCUCCCGUCUCAGAUCAAGAAACUGACAUUGUCGACGAAGCAAUCACAUUCUUUCGUGCCAAUGUAUUCUUCAGAAACUUUGAUGUAAAGAGCUCAGCGGACAAACUGCUUAUAUAUUUGACAUUUUACAUAAAUGUGGCUCUGAAAAGACUCGAGGGGUGCAGAACCUUGGCAGGAGGAACGAAGGCCAUCAUAAACUUGGGUCUCGAGGAUGUCCCUGUGCCUGGGGAGGCAGGUUUUCCCUUUGCAGGCCUUUUUCCCCUUCCUCAAUCUGACGAAGAAGCAGAGCUAUUCAGGAACUAUCUAAAGCAGAUAAGAGAAGAAACCAGUGGAAGACUGUUGGGUGUUGCAUACAGACCUAAUGGGACCCCAAAUAAAUGGUGGAUAGCAUUCGCCAAGAGGAAAUUCAUGAACAUUAUUGUUCCCCAACAUUAGUUUUUUAAUUUAUUUUUUUAAAAACAAAAUAAAAUGGGUUCCUCUUUGUAAGAAGUCCCAAUCUUUAUGCACAGUACUUACAAAUUUUGUGAUCGACUUGAAUUUUGUUCCUGUAAUUGUUGUUGUGUAUUCCAAACACUGUAAAGAAAAAUAGUAAUGUAUGUUGAAAUUCAAAUAUUUUCGCAUACGCAGAA